CUCUCUCUCUCUCUCUCCUCACCUUUUAAAAAGGUGUAAAAGUUGGGCUAAAUGUGUUAAUUCUCAAUUUUUUCUACAAUGUAGUUUACAAAGAUAAUGCCAUUCCUGUCUUCCUCCUUUACCAUACCUUGUAGCGUAUUUAGGGCUGAUAUCCAUGGAGAGAAAUAAUGGUAUAAUUAUUGUUUUUCUGUCAAAAGGCAGCUGAGGAUCUGAGGCAGUCAGUAAAGCCAAAGCCGGAUGUCAAGAGGUCAAAGGCUUCAUUGGAUAAAGUGCAGUCUCUUCUUUCUCCCCGGACAUCCUUGAGUCUUCAAGAAGCACGGAACCUUACCCUCAGAGGAGGACUAACCUAUGAACAUGACAUUGAAUGCAGUGAGGCCGAGGCUGACGUCGCAGGGACGACCAUGGCAAUCUACACUGUUCGAGCUGAAGGUGAUGGUCCUGAUGGUCCUGGUGGACGCUUUGCAGAUGUUGGUGUGGUCCUGGAAGGCGUCCAAGUUCUUCACAACCUCCAGAGUGUCAACCAUGCAUGCGUGAUGAUUUAUGGGUUGAUUUAUGCACUUAAUCUAAGCUAUCCUAAAAGCUUGAAGAAUACAUUUGAAGCAUACCAAAAGAUCCUGAUGGACCUGGAAUCGACCAAACUUUCCACCAAAGUAAGAGCACUGAAACUCAAAUUGCUCAUUUGACUCUUUUUUUGGGGUGGGGCGGGGAUGGAAGGAGGAAGCUGAGGAAGAGACCGGCCAUACAUGCCGAUAACCAUAGUGUUCUUGUUCACGACCUGGAAGAUUCACACAUAUCGAACACACAGUUGACUGAGCACCUGCUGUUUCUAGCUUUCUAUGUUCUCAUGUCAAAAAGAAUACUUUAAAAGAGUGUUAAAUGUUGUUGAGCCAGUAGAGUUUAUUCUUGAUAAAAAAAAGAACAGAUCCUUUCAAUAUAUCUUAUUACUGCGAUCGUUGCAGCAGAUACUUGUUUCUACUGAAUUGUUGAAUAGAGUUAUUGAUAGCCACAGAACACAGGACAGUAACACUGACCAGCUUGAAAACCAGCAGUAUCGCUCCAUAAGAGAUGGUGUAUACUUCAAGGAAAACCCUUUCCUGCCAGGUGAUGAAUUAAAACUUUGUUUAACCUUCCUAACCUGCCUCUGUUCUGUUAAAGUUAGAAAAUAUUUUCAUGUUUUGUCUACAGCAGUAGAUGAGGUUUGAAGGGCUACACUACCUGCUGAGUACUGUCUGUGCC